rnacentral:rRNA from 1 species
AGCCGUACUGGAAAGUGUGGCUGGA